GCCUAGCUAGCUCAAUCGGUAGAGCGUGAGACUCUUAUCUCAAGGUUGUGGGUUCGACCCCCCGUUGGGCU
rnacentral:tRNA from 1 species